GCCUGGGUGGCUCAGUCGGUUAAGCAUACGAUUUUGGCUCAGGUCAUGAUCUCAUAGUCUGUAGGUUCGAUCCCUGCCUUGGGCU
rnacentral:tRNA from 1 species